rnacentral:rRNA from 1 species
GUCGAACGAACCUUCGGGUUAGUGGCGGACGGGUGAGUAACGCGUGGGAAUCUGCCCUCAGGAGGGGGAUAACGGUUGGAAACGACCGCUAAUACCCCAUAUGCCGAAAGGUGAAAUGAAUUUCGCCUGAGGAUGAGCCCGCGUCUGAUUAGCUAGUUGGUAGGGUAAUGGCUUACCAAGGCUUCGAUCAGUAGCUGGUCUGAGAGGAUGAUCAGCCACACUGGGACUGAGACACGGCCCAGACUCCUACGGGAGGCAGCAGUGGGGAAUUUUCCGCAAUGGGCGAAAGCCUGACGGAGCAACGCCGCGUGAGGGACGAAGGCCUCUGGGCUGUAAACCUCUUUUCUCAAGGAAGAAGAUAUGACGGUACUUGAGGAAUAAGCCACGGCUAAUUCCGUGCCAGCAGCCGCGGUAAUACGGGAGUGGCAAGCGUUAUCCGGAAUUAUUGGGCGUAAAGCGUCCGCAGGCGGCCUUCCAAGUCUGCUGUUAAAGCGUGGAGCUUAACU